CUUUGGGCAGCCUAUAGCCUGAAAGGCCAAAAAGGGAAGAAAAGGUUUGAAGACCUGCUUUUAUAUGAAGUCAUAAAGGAUGCAUGUUGCAGAAUACAUCCGGCAGUGGCCCAGCAGGUCUUUGAACACUUUGUUGCAGAGACUUUAAAGUAUGCACCCCACAGGGGAAUUCAGGUGGUUAGUGCACUUCCGCAAUCUGAGGACAGACAUUGAAGUGGUGAAGCUGU